CCGCCCGCGCCGACACCGAAAGUGCCUCCCUUCCCCCGGCUCAGGGCCGUCUCGGAGCGGCCGGAACUCGAUGCUUCCCCAGGGCGUACGUGCUUACGUGCUUGCGUGCGCGCGCGGCCCUUAACGCGGCCGCCCGGCGCCUCGCCCCGCGUACGCCGCAGGCANGCGGCUCCCGAGGCGGCUGGCAGUGCGCAGGCGCGCCCCCCGUGGGCCGGGCCGUGGAGGGGCGUCCUGGUCCCCGCCCCGCGGGCAGGCUGACUGCGGCCGGCGCGUCCCGGGGUGGUCCGCCCCCGGAGAGUGAGGAUUCCGUGCAGGCUUGUUACAAUACACAGAGAGGAGAGAGANNNNNNNNNNNNNNNNNNNNNNNNNNNNNNNNNNNNNNNNNNNNNNNNNNNNNNCCCCCGCCCCCGCGCUGCCCCAGGCUGGGUUUCUGCAGUAGCUCCCUGUUCAUGCUGGGCCCUGGGCUGGCGGUUCUCUCCACCCCCGCCCUGGUCUCCCCCAGGACAUCCCAUACAGGUCUCUCCUCACCUCUGUGAGGGGUCCCGUCACUCUCAUAUAUGACCUGGCCUUUCAUAUACACUUGUUCUGUUCCUUGGUGCUGUUUCCGCCUGCCAAGCUCCUACUCACUCUCAAGACCCCAGUCCCAUAGCCCCUGCUCUGGAAAGCUGCCUGGAACCACAUGCCACCCCUUCCUGGGACCCUUGCACUUCUUGCGCGCGCGUGGGGGGGGGGCUCUUUGUGUUCCACCCCUGGGGCUGCGAGGAUUUGUGUGUAGACCUGUGUACCCCAGUGGCCUGCUGUAAGGCGUGCUUCUACCUGGGGAGCCAGCCCGCGUGCACGUGUUUGAGCAACUGCAGCAGCUUCUAGGAACAGUACUUCUGAGCACACAGUCCACUAGGUUUUGUUGCUUUGCUGUGAAGAUGCCAGAUGCCACACACCUGCAGCCUUACCACGACCAGGGGAGGAUGAGGAUGGGGCUAUGUUCUCUGGGCUGCCCGGGUCGCCCCCAACACCUGCUGUGUUUGUCUGUAGAUUCUCAUUGAGGGGGUCCAUUGGGGGUCCUUGUCUUGCUCCAGUCAUCCUGAGUACCUGCUCUCUGCAGGCCUCCCAGCCGGUGUCAGGCUGUAGGCGGUGGCUGGGCGCCACCUGCUGGGACAGCGUUGGGGUUGCCGCAGAGCUGGCCAAGGGUUUCGGUUGCAGAAGUCCAGCCUACUUGGGGUGGCAGUUUGCCCCGCUGAUGGAUUCCAGCAUCUCCCACCCCUGCCGUGGUUCCUCCUUCACCUCUUUGAGCCUCGGGAGGAUGCUCUUCUGGUCAAGGCAGACCCUGGGCCAGAGUCCGGGGAACCACUUGCCGGUAACUGGUCCUAGGAGCCUGUUGGACGCCCAGAGGCUGGUCAGCAUAGAAGCAGUAGAUGGCAUUCAUGGAGGCAGUGCCUGCCCGCUGUCGCUCUGGCUCCACUUUUCAGCUGUGGGCAAAGGCGUCAGCCUCUCUAGACCUCAGUCUCCUCAUCUGUAGAGUGGUGACAAUAACGCCCAGGUGUCAACUUUGCCCCCUGUGUGUGAGGCCAGGAGCCGUUGCUGAGUGAGCCUCCAGGAUGGCUGACCCCCGUGCUGGGCACGGCUGACCUGUGUUGCCAAGAGGGCGAGGCAGAUGUGGCCAUGUGAUGCCACAGGCUCGGCCACAAACUGCUCUGCAGCCCCAUCUUGUUGUCCCUUGGGUCACUCACUGGGAAAGCUAAAUGAUUGGAGACCAGCUGUCUGCAAGUGCAGGAGGGAGGAACCAGCCCCGCCCACCCUGGCAUCUAGGACGUCCAGCCUCCAGGAUAUGAGGGAAUACGCUUCUGUGACCUGAGCCACGGUCCGUGGUGCUCCGUCACGGCAACCCUGGUGAACUGACACGCGUGUUGUUACUACGUUAAGCUGUCUUGUUCCAGGACCCCUUGUCGGGCAGCAGGUGACCAGCACAGCUAUGAGCAGUGGUACUGAGUCAUGAGCACCAGGCCAUGCUGAGUCCUUCCUGUAGUUUGUCUCCCGAGAGCAUUGGUCCCCACAGCCUGGGUGGGGGCGAUGCUGCUGUCCCCAUCUCGUGGCGUCUCAGGUACUAGCACUUAGGUCCAGCAGGGCUGGAAGGAGGGACAGGCCUUAGGGUCUCUGGGCCAUGCUGGCCUGAGUGCAAACAAAAGCAUUCGGCUCCCUGGCGGGGGAGCGGGCCACAGCAGCAGAGACGGAUGGAUGGACAGGUCCUCUGUACUCUCAGCAGGCCCACCUGCUUGGGGAGAAGGAAUGCCACCUCUUUUGCUCAUCCUGCCCCUGGAGCUGAAGCCCUUAAGGGCAGAGAGCCCUGUAUCCUGCCGUGUCCCUGGUGCCUAACACACAGCAGGGCCCAGUAUAGACUGGACUGCUUGCCCCGCUGAUUCCAGGGCCCGGCCUGAGUCGUGCCUUUAGAAUCAGAAGCCUGCAGACCUGGGGACUGCCGAGGGCAUUGGCCCACCCAGCUUCUGUCUGACCCCCACGCACACAGCCUGUGCGGGUGGGGGGGGCAGGGGGUCGAGGGGCGGACAGCAGCAGAGGGAAGUGGACUGGGCUAGGCUCUGGGAGCACACUCAGGCUACACCCAGGGACGUUGUGAGUGACCCCGGGGUGGGGGGCUGCCCAAGGCUGCUGAGAGAUGGUUUAUAGGCUACAGACUUGCCUAGAUUUCACCAGUGCCUCAGCCCCGGGGCUCUGGGUUGGAUAAACUACUCAAUCUUCCUAGGUGGUACGGCCCCAGUGGCCGUUAGAGGGUUUAAUGAUGUGCAGCCCUCGGCCAAGGCUGAGUGGAAUCCGCACUCAGUAACCGCCGCCACCGCUGGGACGCACAGAAACACUUGUAAACAAGCCAGGCAUAGGUCGCAGGCGGAGACCUGGCCUUGCGUGGUGGCGGCGGUGGCCGCACUGCCAGCUUCCAGGCGGCCCUGCCCUCCUCCAGGCAGCAGGCUUUCUGCCACCUCACGGAUGUGCCCUCCUGAAACCCAGGCCACGAAGGGGACACAGGAGGCUCGCUUUCGGGGGUUCAGCCCUGUCCUGCCAUGCCUCCCGGGCCCUGGCUGUAUUUUCUCCUGUGCCAAUUUCACAGCGACAUGGCUUCUACUCCUGCUGAUUGAACAGUCUGCACUGACAGGGGCGAAGAUUUGCAGUGGAGCUUAUCACAGCCCCAGAGCAUGGGCGGGGUGGCUGGCGGGGGCGCUGGGGAGGCGGCUGUAUUUAUGGCAUGCUGGGAAGACAAACAUACGCAUUUAUAUGUCACUUGUUGCAAUAUAAAUGCUAACUUGUACUCCUUUCAAAACUUUUAAUGAAUUGUAUACAUUCCGAGAGAUUUAUAGGGUGAACGGAAUGGCUCAAAAUGUUACUUUUAACAUAUUUGUCACUUUGGCAACAGCGCCCCCCCUCAAAAAAUCUGGAAGAUAUUGCAUUCAGAAAUAAAUCAUAAACAGGCACAUCCUAAAAGAGGUUU
ensembl:lncRNA